CUCUCUGCAAAGUUUAGAAGGCCAAUACAUUAGGCUAGUGGUAUUUCUAUUCAAGCCAAUCAAGUUUUGCCUGAUUCUGUUUCUGCUGCUGGAAGUAUUUACAAUACAACAAAGCUUACCAGGCCUGCUGUCCUCCAACCAAUGCUUAUCUCCUUGCAAGCCAACCUUCCAAGACAUUAUUGAUAGAUUGUUUCAGUAUAGGCUUAGUGAAAAUAACAGUAGUUUUUAUUUUAGAAAUGAGAUUUUUAUAGUUCUUACCCCAUGGCUAGAACUGUGAGACCCCAAGCAAUAACUGAAGACGACGCAGCAGAUAACAAGCCUGAUGCGUUCCCCUGAAGAACGUUUUGAAGCCCAGUGAGGGACGAAGCAACGCCUACCAAACCAGCAAUGAGGGAAAAUAUGACAAAAAAUCCGGUGGCAAAGUUCCCAAUAGGAUAAUAUAUUGGAAACAGUCUAGCUGGUAGAGAAAGUCCUGAAACUGUAAAGAAAAAAAUAAAUCAUAUCAGAACCAAUAUGUAAAACAUUAAGAAAACUCAUUAGUGAUUCUUAUAUAAUCUGUGCAA